GACAGAGGGUGCGAACGUUGUUCGGAAUUACUGGGCGUAAAGCGCAUGUAGGCGGCAGCGCAAGUCGGGCGUGAAAUCCCACGGCUCAACCGUGGAAGUGCACUCGAAACUGCGCAGCUAGAGUCCUGGAGAGGAAGGUGGAAUGCUUGGUGUAGAGGUGAAAUUGUAGAUAUCAAGCGGAACACCGGUGGCGAAGGCGGCCUCUGGACAGUGACUGACGGCUGAGAUGCGAAAAGCGUGGGGAGCAACAGGGAUUAAGAUACCCGUUGAGUCC
rnacentral:rRNA from 1 species